rnacentral:rRNA from 1 species
GUGCAGCAGUCGCGAAAACUCCGCAAUGCGCGAAAGCGUGACGGGGUCAUCCCGAGUGCCGUCCGCUGAGGAUGGCUUUUCCCUAGUGUAGAUAGCUGGGGGAAUAAGGAGAGGGCAAGUCUGGUGUCAGCCGCCGCGGUAAUACCAGCUCUCCGAGUGGUGGGGAUGUUUAUUGGGCCUGAAGCAUCCGUAGCUGGCUGAGCAAGUUCUCCGUUAAAUCCAGCGAUUUAAUCGUUGGACUGCGGAGGAUACUGUUCGGCUAGGGGGCGGGAGAGGCCGACGGUAUUCUCGGGGUAGGGGUGAAAUCCUAGAAGCCCGGGAAGGCCACCAGUGGCGAAGGCUGUCGGCUAGAACGCGCCCGACGGUGAGGGAUGAAAGCUGGGGGAGCGAACCGGAGUAGAUACCCGUGUAGUCC